rnacentral:lncRNA from 1 species
UUUAGGAUUUAGGAUUUGGAUUAGGGUUUGAUUUAAGGUUUAGGAUUUGGUUUAGGGUUUAGGAUUUGGAUUAGGAUUUGAUUUAGGAUUUAGAAUUUGGAUUAGAGUUUGGUUAGGGAUUAAGGUUUGAUUAGGAUUUGAUUUAGGGUUUAGGAUUUGAUUUAAGAUUUAGAGUUUGGAUUAGGAUUUGAUUUAGGGUUUAGGAUUUGGAUAGGGUUUGGUUUAGGGUUUAGGAUUUGAAUUAGGAUUUGGUUUAGGGUUUAAGAUUUGAUUUAGGAUAUGAUUAGGGAUUAAGGUUUGAUUAGGAUUUGAUUUAAGAUUUAAGGUUUGUCUAGGAUUUCAUUAAGGUUAGAUUAGAAUUAGGAUUUGGUUAGAAUUUAAGGUUCUAUCAGAUUUUUGUUAUGGUUUGACUAAGUUUUCUUUAAUAUUCUUUUAUAUUUCUUUAGGAUUUCCUUGUGUUUCUUUUAUAACUUCAAUAAAAUUUAAUUGAGCUUGCUUAAUAUUU